AUUUGUAAUAUAAACAAAAAAAUUAAUCUCUACAACUCUCGCCGGCGCUUACAAAAAUUUUCCCUAUUAUAAGUGAACAACAUAAAUAUGUUCAUAAUUUGUAUCAAAUAUAUGUGGCCAACUAAUGUCUCGCAGGCGAGAUUUAAAAGGAAUUUGGUAGUAGUGAUGUUACUAUAUCUGGACAGUUUUGUGAUUUUGCGCCCUCUUGACUGAAGGGGAAAAUCGAAAGCAUCCAUUUAUCGCUUCUUCCCUUUCUCAUACUUUUGAUCUGUAAUCUAUAAUAACAACGAGGCUAUUUACAAUUAAAAAAAAAAAAUUAUCUACUCUGAUUCUGC
rnacentral:lncRNA from 1 species